rnacentral:rRNA from 1 species
UGCCAGCAGCCGCGGUAAUACGGAGGGGGUUAGCGUUGUUCGGAAUUACUGGCUUAAAGAGUACGUAGGCGGCAUAGCAAGUGUUAGGUGAAAUCCCACGGCUUACCCGUGGAACUGCCUAGUAAACUGCUGAGCUAGAGUGUGGUAGGGGAGAACAGAACUCAUGGUGGAGCGGUGAAAUGCGUAGAUAUCAUGAGGAAUACCGGUGGCGAAGGCGGUUCUCUGGUCCACAACUGACGCUGAGGUACGAAAGCUAGGGUAGCGAACGGGAUUAGAUA